AGUUAAGACUUGCACUGAAGAUUUUGUCAUGAUGAAAAACCAUUUUGUAGAAUAUAUCAAUGGGUAGAUCUCCAUUUGGAUCUGCGUAUUUGAGAGUUGUCAUCGGCGUGUACAAGGUGUUGGUCUGAUGGCGAAAAGGAAUCUCAUCCUGUGAUCCUUUCUGAUGAAUUUCUACAUGCUGUCUUUGAGCCCUUGACCUCUAGAAAGGACUGUUAUCCUUUUAAAAGGAAAACAUUACAGCUGAUACUGUGAUCUCUCUGGCUGCUAUUUAAUAUUCUAUAGUCUACUGGCAAAAUCUCCUUCAGGAGUCGAACCAGUCCAAAGAAGUUGGUAUCCAUCACCGUUUUCAUUUCAUCAAUGGUCUGACAUUCAAUUGGUCCAAUAAGCCCCAUUCCAGCAUUGCUAACUGCACAAAACAGAAGAUGAC